UGAGGAAUCUUGCACAAUGGGCGAAAGCCUGAUGCAGCGACGCCGCGUGAAGGAUGAAGGUCUUCGGAUCGUAAACUUCUGUUAAGUGGGAAGAAAUGUCUGUUGUUAAUAGCAGCAGAAGCUGACUGUACCAUUAUAGAAAGCACCGGCUAACUACGUGCCAGCAGCCGCGGUAAUACGUAGGGUGCGAGCGUUAUUCGGAAUUACUGGGCGUACAGGGUGCGUAGACGGCUCAUUAAGUCGAUUGUUAAAUUUUCCGGCCUAACCGGAGGCAUGCGGUCGAUACUGUUGAGCUAGAGGGUGGAAGAGAGAAGUGGAAUUCUCGGAGUAGCGGUAAAAUGCGUAGAUAUCGAGAGGAACACCAAUGGCGAAGGCAGCUUCUUGGUCCAUACCUGACGUUGAGGCACGAAAGCGUGGGGAGCAAACAGGAUUAGAUACCCCCGUAGUCC
rnacentral:rRNA from 1 species